UUAUGGCUAUAUCACGUUGAAAGACCGAGUCCUGUAAGAUCCCUGAAGUUAAGCAAAGUCGAGCCUGGUCAGUACCUAGAUGGGUGAUCAUUGAGGAAUACAUGGUGAUGUAAG